CAACCUGAAAGAAGGGCAAAUGAAUACAUAAGCAAAUAAAUAUAUACAUCUGGCUGUGAUUUUUAAGUUGGUUUAUGUGUAAUGGUGAUGUUGAUUGUGAUUAAUAUACUAAAUUUCAUUCCUAUCCUGUUACACUGAUCAGACCUUGCUUGCCAGAAGUAUCAACCUAAAUUUUAACUGGAAGUGUAAAAGAAUUUGCGCUAGUUAUUCAUGAAUUAUGUGUCAUCAAGUAAGGUGAUUGUUCCAGAAUUCAGGAUUACAUCAUUCCUGACUGAUUGCUUUGUAUAACAAUGGUAUUUCAGGGAUCUUUGCUUAAAAUGAAAAGAAAACAAACAAUCCCUUUAUUCUACACACUUAAAAGCAAACAUGGUAUGUAUUAAUUUUCUUAAUAUUGGCAGCACCAUUCCAAUAGUUUGUUCUUCUUCAGAAUACUGUUCCAGCAUGCUAUACUAGCCUGUUGCUGAUAGUUCUCCACAUCUGUACUUCAUUAAAAAUACCAUCCUUUCAUCCUACAGAUAAUGGUGUCUUUUUCACCAACAGCUAUUUUACAACAUCAAAGCUGAAGAGAAAUAUUGAAAACACAUUUUCUGUCUUUAUUGUUUUUCAUCAUGUCACCGUGUCAUCAUAUAUCUACAUCAAGGUCAGUGAGAAACAUGCAGCUUGGAGAGAAAGGAAGCUUUAAAGGAAAGCCAGAAGAGGAAAAAUGACUUGAGAGACUAGAGGCCAAAGAAAAGUUCAAUUUGUUGGGAGUAUGAAUUUCUAUACUCUUUACAUGAGCAAAAUGUUUUGCCUGUAAUGGUAAAAGUUCUGGAAGUUGGAAUUUCCAUGAUUUAUCUCAUACAUUCUUGAAACCACCCCACACUGAAUAAGAAUAAGAUUUAUUUAUUUAUUUAUUUAUUAUUUGAUAUUCAGACUGGGUCAAUCAGACUUUCUAGGAAGGUAUUGAAAUGUAUUUGUAUAGCUUUAGAUAUAUCACCUUGUCCUAUUCCUUCUGAAGAAACACUCAGCUGAUUUGAACUGAAUCAAGAUUAGGUCUUUAAUUCAGUAAUAUGAUUUUUUGAAAAAAGCUAAAUGUUAGUUGAGCAAAAGAAGAAAUGUUUUUUUCAACUACCAUAUAACCACUUCCCCAGGUUCUUCACCUGCAUGAUGCUGGCGAGGGAAUUGAGGAUUUCCACCUGCUCAUCAUUCUGAGGAAUCACACGAAACACCUUCUGCCUGGAAAGGGAGAAAAAGAUUGGAUUUGAAACAGAUGCUACUUAACAUCUGAGCAAGUAAUGAAUAAGGAGAGAAAAGAAUGGAAGUAAUGAGAUCUUGGGUAUGGAGCAAAAAAAAGGCAGCUCUCAUGACUUUGGGAUGAGUUUGUACAACUGCUGUUGACUCAUCAGCUUCCAGCUCUGAAAUCAGAUCUGCUAGGAAGGAAUGAAGAAGGAGUAGAGAGGGAGACCACACUUUGAUCCACUGCCUCCUGAAACAUCACAGCUACCUGAAAUCCUUUCAAUUUCUGUGAAUUAUUUAAUUUUUUUUUUUUUUAAAGUAUAUAUUUUGAUGUGGAAAUGUUGCUGUAGUGUCUCAUGGAAAAGGCAUCCCAAGGCCCAGUGCUGUAUUCUGCAGCCAGUAUGUCACACCCGUGAUGUUCUGUGACUAAGCACUCCAGCCAUGGAGCAGCUCAGCUGCUCGUUUGAUGCAAAUGACAUUAGGAGAUCUGGUCCAGGAGCCUGGAUUCAAAUAUGUAAAAAUAUGGAAAAUAUAUAUAUGCUAUUUUUCCCCUAUAAAACCCCAUAAUACUACUACCUUGAGAAAUUUCAUAGUGAAAGAUGAUGUUCCUUCCCUGUUGUGCUUGGCUGGUUUUUACUACUAUGCAGCAGACUGCUUGUAGAAGGGUUGGGGAAUUUUUUCCUCUUGGUUUGCUGCCAAAGAUUUUCCUACCUAAGCAAAGCUGACGCUUGGUAUGUUCAGGAUGUUGCAGUAUGUUGUAUGUCAAACAUUUGACUUUGUUUUCUCACUGGAAGGCUUGCAACAGAAGUUUGGGAUUUUGCUUGUUUCUGAUUCAUACACAAUUUUUAAUUAUAUAUUUUGCUUCCUUUAUGCUACCUUCGUAUUUUCUGAAUUAAGUUAAUUGCUGGAACUUCUCUCAUGUUUGAAGAAACUGAUAAUGGUUAUUCAAUCAGGGAAAUAAGAAUAGGUCAUGAUGUUCAAUACCUCCCCCUCACUGAAUAACAAGCUUCUGAGAAUUGAAAUAAGAGAUUUUGUCAUGAAACAAAGGUGAUUAGUUUGGCUUACUGCAAAUAAUUCUGGAUCGAAUUAAGAAUUUAUGCAGAAAGAUGAGACAGUGCUCUCUUCACCAACUUUCUCCUUCAUUAUAUUCAAAGAUGGGACCUUAACAUCCAGAAUAGUUAGAAUUGUAGUCUAUCUGUCACAUUUCAUUAAAUUCUGAUAUGAGUGGUGGAUGGGUGGAAGGUGGAUCACUUUGUUCAAGGCAGAUUCAUCAGAUUUUACGGGGAGUUUGCUUGGAAGAAAAACCAUUUAUUUGGAACCAUUUCAUAUCACCUCUCCUUUGAAGCUCGUUCUUGUCUCUUCAUGGCCACAAAAGAAAGGAAAUACCUGCUUGCUCAUUCUUCUCACACACCUACAAGGCAAGAAAAUCCUGGUUUAGUCAUUGCACUCCUCUGUAGUUGCACAGGAAUGUGUGGUAGAGCCAUUCACUUAAAUGGCUGUUUUACUGCUGCUUUUCCUCUGGGACCAAAGAACCACAGAAAAUAUUAGAAACAGAUUGAAAGUCAGAGGCUUCCUAGACCUACUAACAAAGAGCAGCACAAUGAAAACUGAAGACCUUGAAUGAUAAUAAAAUAACUGAGUUGGUAAAAACUCAGCUGAUGGAGCUCUCAUGUGGAACAUAUUGUGUCUACAAUGUUACAGGUCAUUUCCUUUGCCUUUCUCUAUAAACAUGUUUUUCAAAUUGGUUUCAAGUUGGUCCAGCUGCACAGUAUAUUGAAAGCAUAUUCAUAUGACAGAUAACUAGCAGCUGUUGUUGGAAAAUUGACAAAGCCGAGGGUAAUUGUUGCUUCGGAGGAUGAACUUGUGCUUCCAGGCAAAACAUCUUCCUCGGUAUUUUGCUCCUCUAUGAGUUUUUCAUUGCAAAGGCUGGGCCAGUAACACUAAAAGGUCCCUUUCUUUCCAGCUACAGCUCUAGCAAAUGUAGCCAGGCCAUAUAAGAAACAUAUAUCCUGAUGGACCCAUUGGUCAAAGCACUGAAUGACAGAGAAAAGGUGUUCUUAAUCUCUCUGCAUUUGUUCUCUCUGUUAAAGAAGGUACUGUCAUUUGUUAAUGCUGGCUCUGAUUUAUUCCUACCCAUAGAAGUAUUUCUGUAUUGAAGAUUUGGUGAUAGUGUUUGUAGCAAUACACACACUCCUGAUGGAAGUCUGUGUUCCAGAGGUGAUCUAAUCCAUUUAGUCAUGUCCUAUGUCUUUCUCCUCUCUCUUCAAUUCAGACUUUGUUUUAACUUUUUUCUCUCCCCCCAAAUACAGUUUGGUUAAAAUACAGGAAAGCUACACUUUUCAUGACUAAAAAAAAUACCAUUUUUCUAAUUUUUUUGUUUCUUGUCUAAAACAUGGCACACCUAUCCUGAGGAGAGGAAAAAACCACAAUCCAUUGAACUGGCAACAUAACAUUCAUAUUUUGUAUUUAAAUCUAUCAAGACAUGUACUGCUUAAAGUUUAUUGCUGUUUUGAUCCUACAAGUUCCACACAAUUCACAUUGUAUUCUGUCAAAUGUCGUACAGCUUCCUUAGUAAGAGAGAAUAAACACAGAUGUACUUUGAUCUACUUCACUGCUUCAAAGUUUCAAAUGCAUUCUGAGAUCUUUCCAUGGGAUUUCAAAAAGCAAUUAUUGAGAAGAGUAAUUAUGAAAGCAGUAAUUUUCUCACUGAUGUUAUUUUUCUAUAAUUGAGAGUUACGCAGUAAGAGCAUUGUGUUUCUCUCUAUUUUUUCCCCCACAGUGUAAUCUACAAGGAAUUUUGAUUUAUACCAUUUUUCUUUUAUAAUUCACUCUGCCCUGAGGAACUGCAGUCAGGCAGAAGGCUAAGAGACUGCAAGAAUGGAAGCUUAUAUAUGGGAGCAUAUAUAAGCAACCUGACAAACACAAAGUAUUAAAAACCCCCAUAAAAAUCUGCAAUUUAAAUAGGCUUGUACCAGGAGUUCUUAAGCUUGUGGCUGGGCCACAUGGCUAGAGAAGGAUUGCCUUGUUUAUAUAUGUUUAUGUCCACUAUGAAAUUGUGCUGACCUUCAUUCCCUUCAUAAUUUUCUAGCAUUACAGAAGUGGUAAUUUUCCAAUUACUUGCAUGGAAAAAUGGUUUAAAUGUAUGUUAUUUCUUUUAAAGGAAGGAAAGUGUCUGCUUCCUAAGGACCCCCUUUUGAGAAGUGCUGACUGAGGCCACACUCCAAUACAGUCACAAGGAUGCAAGUGCAUGGGGCUCUUUGCAGAUCAUUACUGGGGACUAGGUAAUGUUACAAGUUGAUUUUUUUUUUUUUUAAGUUGCAUUAAUACUAUUUCAGGUACUUAAUAAUUUUUUUCCAUUUGUAAGAAAUUGCAUAUUAAAAAAGUAGCUGUUUAAGGGUUAUGACCUUUUGGGGAAAAAAAGCAAUCAUUUGAUUAUAAAGUAGCCCAUUUCUCACAAAAGAGAAAAUUUUGUUUGUUUAAAAAGAAAAAUUGAAGUUCUUUAAAUAACAGAAGUGAAACCUUGAUACCUUUUACUCACUUUUUAAAUCUUUGCUCCUCUGAAGUUUCGUUCUAAUAUCAUUCAGAUGUAAACUCUCUCAGAUUGGUUUUUUUAACUCUUGUAUGGAUCCUGAAGGGAGUAAUUUCUCAUUUGUUUGCCGGCUAGACCAAUUUUUUAAGGCUGGAGGAGAGAAGGGAGUUGUAUUUUACAUGUAGGGUCAAAUAACUCAUAGGUUUUCUAAUAUAAACCCAUGUUUCCUUGCAAAUCUGCAAGGUUUGAAGAAUUUUUAUGCUUUUUUCAGGUCCUUAGUAUCAAGGUUACCAAAGGUCUCACAAGCUCUGUAGGGAAAAUGAUGAACCUUGUAAAAUACAUGUGUUCACAAGACAAAUGGUUCGUCGUAAAUAUAAGUCACUCAUGCCUGUACAUGACUGUACAAAUUAACAGCAUAAAGCAGAGGCUCUCCUGCCAUCUUUGAACUGUAUAUCCUGAUAUCAGCAUUUGUAAGCUGUUUGAUGGGAGAGACAGCAAGUUCUGAAAGAGUCAAAGAUAGUUCAAGAGCAUCAAUCUUAAAUGAUUUCAUGUGAAACAACACCUAUUAGAGGAAUACCAUCCCAAGGGACAAGAAGUAAAAAACAUUGUGCUGAAUUUGUACUGAAGCUCUGCCAAGGCCUUUUCUAAUUUUUUCAAGCUUAUCACAGGCUGUAUUUGUCUGCUAUAAAUUAAUGUUGUCAGUAUCAUGAACUGCAACCUUAGCACAAGGCCAACACUGUUUGUAGUGAACGGCAGGGGUUUUGCCUGCUGUUUUGAACUGCAACAAGAACUGAGGAAGCUGAUGUCUAAAAAGUGAAUUAUUCCAUCAGUUCACCCUCUGCCUCAGAAGGAGUCUCUAAACCCACAGAAAGUUUCUGACGAGUUAGCUAGUCCAUUGCUUUGUCCCAAAGCUGGAUAGUCUGUGUCAUUCCUGAUAGGUGUCCAAGCUACCUGCUCUUAAAAUUUUCCAGUUCUACAGAUGCCAAAAUUUUUUCCUCAUAGGUGUUGAAAAAAAAGAAAUGGUGACAUUUGGAAAAAGCUGUUUAUGAAUGGAUAAAAUUGGCUGAACUUUGAAACAUGGAAGUCAGGUCUGGUUUCUUGCCUAAUGAACCAAGAAGAAAAUGGUAAAGGAGUGUAACUGCAAAUUCAGGCUUCCAAUACAUUAUUUGACCUUCCUCCUCUAAGGGGUUUUAUCACUAGGCCAAACCUGUCUGUGCUGCACAUUUCUUCCCUACCUGUUUUUUAGUGCUUGUCAGAUGGACUACCAUAGUUUGGGAAAAACCUUUGGUUUAUCUUAAGUCUUUAUCACCUUAAAUCUUCAUCACCUUAAAUCUUUUACAAAACUCAGUCUUGCUCCCAGGUGAGACUGAGUCUCAAAAAGCAGCUAGAUGUUAAAACAAGACUGAAAUGAUCUUGGCAAUCCUAGCCUAACGCUCUCUCACUAUGAAUUCUGAAGUGGGAUUUAUGGAGGAUGCAAUGCUAGUGUUGGGUAAGCUCGUGUGGAAAACUAACAUCCCAGUCUCUGCUACAGCUGGCUUUCAGCCCCAGAGACCCUGCCAGAGUAAUCUCAACACCUAUCAGUGCUCCUUCUUUUGGGUUUGGGCUUGGUGAGGGGCACCAGUGUGGCACACAGCGUAGGACAGUCAGGCAGGGCUGCGGAGAUGGAGACAGGCUGGGCUGGGACUGGAGGACAGUGUCCAUCAGUGCCCCUGGGGCUGGGAUGGACAACCCAGACUGGGCUGCAAUGGGGUGCUGGGCCAAGGCAGGGCAGGGAGGCUCCAGGUGGUGCUCAUCAGCCUUGUUCAGGCACAGAAGUGCCCUCAGGAGCUUGCGGUGGCUCCCCAAGGAGCUUGAUUGCAGACCAUGUGUGCUCUGGUGCAGUGCCCUGUCAGGAGCUGGGUGGGAAGGGCAGCAUCCAGAGCCCCUCUUCUGAUCCAGGGCAUCACUUUUUGGGCUGCAGUCUUUGUGAACCCUGUACUGGAUGGAAAACAAUCUCUUCAUGCUGGGGGAGUGAGAGACUGGUGAAAUGGCUUCCCCUUCAGCUGUGAGUUCAUGCCAGCCUGCAGGACCAAUGUCACAGCCUCGCUGGCCACUGGGUGCCUGACAGCAAGAGGAUGGUGCUGUUUUCUGGGGUAAGCUGAUGGUUUAGUGAGCUUUAACAUGAUAGAAUUACAAGCAGCUCCCUACCCUUUGUGGCAGCUGAUAAAUGAAAUGAGCAGACAAUCUUACUUCAUGUCCUGGUGAAAGACAAACACCUUUUGCAGCUCAUCCCUGUGAGCUGCACUCUACACGGGGAAUGUGAGCCCUGCCAGCAGGGAAGUUAUGCUGUGGCUGGGCUUGUCCAUGCAUCUGUAAGAAUUUAUGUCUCAGGGAUUACGCUUGUUGGGCCAGGAAAGCAAGUACGUGGCCAAAUCCUGAUCUCAGUUGCACGUGCACAGCUCCCAGGGCAGCAGGGCUGCACCCCAGCUCAGCACUUGGCCUCAGGAGGCCUUGCAUGAUUGCAAAUAAUGUGCAUGGGCACGCUGGAGAGCGAGAGAACAACUGUUCCCUGUUUCGCUCUGCACUGAAGCAUCUGUUUUGCUUCAUCAUUUUUUAAAAGAAAGCCACAAAUAUUUUUCACUGGGGAGCUGAUAAAUAACAGUGUUUACAUUUUUUGAAAAGUUUUAGUGAGGAUAAAAGUAAUUCUUCUAGUGUAUAAAGUCCUUAUGUUUGGAUUUGAGCAUUAAUUCACAGAUUGUCUCUUAUUAUGUUGUUCCUAGCUUAGUAAAUCCUAUGGGGUAUUCUCCCUCAGGAAAUCACAUGGGGCGAUGUCUUAGUUUGAUUUAUUUGUAUGUCUAACUUUGCACAGAAUUGUCUUUCACAGCGGCAUUUUGUCAUGGAGAUUUGUAUUUCUUGGAAAAUUUGGCAAACUGGGGAGUGUUCAAUAAAUUAUCAAUGAAACUUUAAAUGAAAUUUGUUGAGACUUUGUGGAUACACAUGAUACUGGGUUGAUGAGUGUGAUGUAGUAAACUAAGUAGCUAUUUUAAGGGGAUUUGGUCAAAAGAUUCUAUUUCUUCAUUCUUAAAUAGCUUUCUGAGAGGAAAUGUGUUCUAGCAAAUGGAAGACUACAUGUAUAAACAGAAGCAGGGCUAGACUGAAGUCUAGUUUCAGUACUUCUCUAAUACUUAGUUGUCUCCCUUGUGUGCAUAACAAUUAAUUUGGAGAUUAGACACAAUGAGGAGGUCGACAACAAAGCAGGGGAAACAGGGUACAUGUGUGAAAUGGAAUAGAACAGAAGUUUGAGCUUUCUGCUCUGGUGGGGCUCUCUCCCUAUCAACUCUAUACAACUCUGUGCUCUCACUUGGAAAAGCAGAACAGGAAAACCCUGCUUCGUCUGGAAGUGUGUAGCAUAAGCACAGGAAGGUGGUCACCUCUUCUCCUGGACAGAGAAAGUGGCCUGCAAUACUUACCUGUUUGACAGAAGUGUCUGCUUGUUUGGUUGGAAUGAGGACUGCUGGAUUUUUACCUUGGUUUAGGGUUGCAUGCUGAUGGUGACCUCUGCAGUGGUGUUUGGAGCGAGCUGUUGUGUGUCUUAAGUUUUAAGCAAUUUUUUGAAAUAAUAGGUUUAGGAUAGGACCUUUCCAGGUUUACUGAAAUAAUGUGAUUAAGUCAAAGACAAGACUCUAAUAACUUUAGAGAAUAUGAAGACAGGGGGCCAUGUUUAGGAAACAAAACAAAAAGGGUUAUACCUAAAUAAAGAGUAUUUGAAGUGGAGAAGAAAAACAGACCAUGAGAUCUGUGGUUUUUCUAAAUGAGAAAACAACUGUAAUAAAUGCACCCCCUACAUACAAAAUCCCUGCCCCCAAACCAAACAAACAUGCAAAAAUCAACAGAACACGCACAAACACACACCCAUCCCACCAUUUCACUGGCAGUUUCUCAAUGUUGCUGUUCUGCAUUAAGCAGUUAAGGCAGCACUGUAAUCUAGUUGCUGCAGAAAUGUUUUCUGAUUUUUUGAUUGGAAAAGGAUGUGAUCCAUAUGAUGAUUGGUCUAAAUGUGGUCCCUGCUAUGAAAAAUUGUAGAAUCUCUCUGUUCUAGCUAAGCCUUGUUGUAUGAACUUGAAAACGAAAAGCAUUUUAAAUUCCAUGACUGGGUAGAAGUAAGUUUUGGCUACUAAGAGAAAGAUGUAUCAUGGUACAAAUAUUGUUGAAGUGCCUGGAUGACUUUGUGCAGACUUGACUUUAUUGCAAUAUUGAUUUUUCUCUUAUAACAUACAUCCCUCUGUCAAUAUUUUUGACUGAAUUUAUUAAAAUUCUUUCACAGUAAUUUUUCUCCAAUAAUUUCUUCACUAUAUUUGAAUUAUUGAGCAGCGCAAUGUAAGUACUAGGUACUGAAGUGCAUAUUACUACUUUAAAAACUCUGUUUGGGUGACAAGAAUUAAUUACAAUUAUAAAUUGUUACAUCAGUCUCCUAUUCUAUACUGGGAGCUCCAGUGAAAUGCUGGCACUGGACAUAGCUAGUGCUAUGUGUUCAGUUUUGGAUAGUCCAAAGAAGAUUUGAUGUUUCCUUUCCUGAAAUUAAAAAAAAAGUCACCUUCUGAACUGUCAGAAAAACUGUCAGUUCUUAAGGGCUAAUUACAGGUCUUUAUUGUGGGGUCGUAGUUGUUUCAUGAAUUCUGCUUCAAUCAGGGAAAAAUACUCUUAAGUGCCAAUAAAAGUUUUUAUGCUGCUAUAAUUUCCUUCUUCCUCAGCUUCCUCCUCUCAAUUUAUGACUUUAUUCCACUGUUUCUGUUACUA